rnacentral:misc_RNA from 1 species
UCGGGGAAUGGAUGUGGAAAACAGUAUGGUGGAAAUCAGUGUAAGCAUUAGAUCUGGCACCUGUCCCAAGAAGUUUCUCACGUUUCUUGCUUCCAAGGAAUGCAACAUGUUCAAUCAUAUGUGCAAUUCCUUGCUCAUCAUCUUCCUCAUCUAUUGAUCCUACAUGGACUUCCAUGUGUGCUUCAAACCUGUUUGGUGGAACUUUAUUUGGCAAUAUGAGAUAACGAAGACCAUUCUUCAAUUGCCCUCGACACAACUUUGGGUGAGAUGGAAGUUCAGCAUUUAAAAAUUCAGCUAAUCCUGUUACUAAUUCACGAUCAGGAUAUAACAAAUCUGAAUCUUGUCUCUCAAGAAUACCAUCUGGACAGGCAGUACUUGCUGCAUGUGGUUCAUUUGGACCAACAGACGCAUAUGGAACAUGAACACGGCUCACAGAAGCAGCAUCAAAUGAAUUGUAAGGCAAAUGAAAAGUGGAUUUGUCAAUAAAAACUCCUGAAAUAGAUCUUGGGAUCCUAGAAUGCUUUCGACGGUGGUUAAGUGAGCAGGUAAUGCAAUUAUAUUGCUGUGAAAAAGAUGCAUCAGCCUGUGUUUCACAAAGCAAGGAGCUAACAACUUUCAACGCACUAUUCUUCUUUCUUCUACAAGAACCUGAUCCUCCAUUAGCAACUUCAUGUGGCCAUCUUUGUGGGUAAAAGAUAGACAGAGAGUUAGGAUGGAGUUGAGACAAAGGAGGAGCAUAAAGCAGCGUUGGCCGUAUAGGGGUGGGCCGCUGCCACCGGCUUCUUGAAUAACUGUCGUCCCUAGGACUGAAACAUGCACGAAUUUGAGGAACGCUCAUCAAGAAAGAGCUUGAGACAGCCGUUGAACUUGCAGUCAUUGAAAUUGCACUUGGUUGUUCGGCACAGAAAAAUCGAUGGGGUGAGCCCUCUAUUACUUUCUUUCUUCCUUUAUCCUCUUCCUGCAAGUUUUUUUUUUUUUUUUCUCCUUUUCUUCC